rnacentral:rRNA from 1 species
AAUCAACGCUGGCGGCGUGCCUCAGACAUGCAAGUCGAACGCGAAAGUCCCCUUCGGGGGGCAAGUAGAGUGGCGCACCGGGUGAGUAACACGUAGGUAAUCUACCUUUGGAUGGGGAAUAACAACCGGAAACGGUUGCUAAUACCGCAUAAUGCAGCGGCACCUAAUGGUGACAGUUGUUAAAGCGGGGGAUCGAAAGACCUCGCGUCUGAAGAGGAGCCUGCGGCGGAUUAGCUAGNGGUAAGGUAACGGCUUACCAAGGCAACGAUCCGUAGCCGGCCUGAGAGGGCGGUCGGCCACACUGACACUGACAUACGGGUCAGACUCCUACGGGAGGCAGCAGUCGGGAAUUUUGGGCAAUGGGCGAAAGCCUGACCCAGCAACGCCGCGUGAAGGAUGAAAUCCCUCGGGAUGUAAACUUCGCAAGAACGGGAAGAAUAAGUAGGGGAC